GCGAUACCCGAAUGGGGAAACCCAGUGUGACUCGUCACACUAUCAUUAACUGAAUCCAUAGGUUAAUGAGGCGAACCGGGGGAACUGAAACAUCUAAGUACCCCGAGGAAAAGAAAUCAACCGAGAUUCCCCCAGUAGCGGCGAGCGAACGGGGAGGAGCCCAGAGCCUGAAUCAGCAUGUGUGUUAGUGGAAGCGUCUGGAAAGGCGCGCGAUACAGGGUGACAGCCCCGUACACAAAAGCGCAUGUGCUGUGAGCUCGAUGAGUAGGGCGGGACACGUGGUAUCCUGUCUGAAUAUGGGGGGACCAUCCUCCAAGGCUAAAUACUCCUGACUGACCGAUAGUGAACCAGUACCGUGAGGGAAAGGCGAAAAGAACCCCGGCGAGGGGAGUGAAAAAGAACCUGAAACCGUGUACGUACAAGCAGUGGGAGCACCCUUUGGGUGUGACUGCGUACCUUUUGUAUAAUGGGUCAG
rnacentral:rRNA from 1 species